rnacentral:tRNA from 1 species
GCCCGUGGCGUAGUGGUCACACGUUCGCUUCACAAGCGGAUGGUCAUGGGUUCGAUCCCCAACUCCGGCA